UUGAAGUCUUAGUGGCGCAGCUAACGCACUAAGUAGACCGCCUGGGGAGUACGGCCGCAAGGUUAAAACUCAAAUGAAUUGACGGGGGCCCGCACAAGCGGUGGAGCAUGUGGUUUAAUUCGACGCAACGCGAAGAACCUUACCUGGCCUUGACAUGCAGAGAACUUUCCAGAGAUGGAUUGGUGCCUUCGGGAACUCUGACACAGGUGCUGCAUGGCCGUCGUCAGCUCGUGUCGUGAGAUGUUGGGUUAAGUCCCGUAACGAGCGCAACCCCUAUCCCUAGUUGCUAGCAGUUCGGCUGAGAACUCUAGGGAGACUGCCGGUGACAAACCGGAGGAAGGUGGGGAUGACGUUAGGUCAUCUGUAAAANGACGGCCAGGGCUACACACGUGCUACAAUGGUGCGUACAGAGGGCUGCAAACCCGCGAGGGGGAGCUAAUCUCACAAAACGCAUCGUAGUCCGGAUCGGAGUCUGCAACUCGACUCCGUGAAGUCGGAAUCGCUAGUAAUCGCGAAUCAGAAUGUCGCGGUGAAUACGUUCCCGGGCCUUGUACACACCGCCCGUCACACCAUGGGAGUGGAUUGCACCAGAAGUGGUUAGUCUAACCUUCGGGAGGACGAU
rnacentral:rRNA from 1 species